AACAAUGGUGGGGCGUACGGGGGAGCUGAAAGGCUCGCCGGGUGUUGUUGUGACCGGUAGUGCAAACCUCGUACGUCUCACCACCCAA
rnacentral:antisense_RNA from 19 species